rnacentral:lncRNA from 1 species
ACAGGAGGAAGUCUAGAAGAGAUUCAGAAAGUAGUUGAUCACUGUAGAAAAUCAGCUGAUAGUGAAGCCCAGAGAGUAUUUGGAGUAGUCCGAUAGAUGACUGAAGGAGCUCAUUAUUGAAGAAGUCCGGAGGGUAUGAUAGGAGUUCAUCCGUUGGAGAAAUCUGGAGGACACUGUAGAAGGUCGACUGCUGGAGGAGUCCGGAUGGUACUGUGGAAGCUCGGACGGUCGGGGGAGUUCAGAAAGACGCCGCACAAGGUCGGAAG